rnacentral:rRNA from 1 species
GUGUAUGGCCAUAUCACCCUGAACAAGCCCGAUGUCUGAUCUCAGAAGCUAACCAGGGGUGGGCCUGGUUAGUACUUGGAUGGGAGAUAACCUAGGAAGACCAGGUACUGUAGCAU